rnacentral:rRNA from 1 species
AGAGUUUGAUCCUGGCUCAGGACGAACGCUGGCGGCGUGCUUCAUACAUGCAAGUCGAACGAGAAUCUCUAGCUUGCUAGAGAGGAAAGUGGCGGACGGGUGAGUAAAAUGUAGAGAAUCUGCCCUUGAGAGGGGGACAACAGUUGGAAACGGCUGCUAAUACCCCAUAUGAGCGUACCUGAGAUGGUAUUCUUGAAAACUCCGGUGCUCAAGGAUGAGUCUGCAUCUGAUUAGCUAGUUGGCGGGGUAAUGGCCCACCAAGGCGACGAUCAGUAGCUGGUUUGAGAGGAUGAUCAGCCACAAUGGGACUGAGACACGGCCCAUACUCCUACGGGAGGCAGCAGUAGGGAAUUUUGCGCAAUGGGGGAAACCCUGACGCAGCAACGCCGCGUGAACGAGACGCCCUUCGGGGUGUAAAGUUUUGUCAGUGGGGACGAACAAAUGACGGUACCCACAGAGGAAGCACCGGCUAACUCCGUGCCAGCAGCCGCGGUAAUACGGAGGGUGCAAGCGUUGUCCGGAAUCAUUGGGCGUAAAGAGUUCGUAGGCGGCAUGUAAAGUCAGGUGUUAAAGGCUGAGGCUCAACCUCAGUAUGGCACUUGAUACUUGCAAGCUAGAAUGCGGUAGAGGUAAAGGGAAUUCCUGGUGUAGCGGUGAAAUGCUUAGAUAUCAGGAGGAACAUCGGUGGCGUAAGCGCUUUACUGGGCCGUAAUUGACGCUGAGGAACGAAAGCCAGGGUAGCAAAUGGGAUUAGAUACCCCAGUAGUCCUGGCCGUAAACGAUGGAUACUAGGUGUUGCGGGUAUCGACCCCUGCAGUGCCGUAGCAAACGCGUUAAGUAUCCCGCCUGGGGAGUACGCACGCAAGUGUGAAACUCAAAGGAAUUGACGGGGACCCGCACAAGCGGUGGAACAUGUGGUUUAAUUCGAAGCAACGCGAAGAACCUUACCAGGGCUUGACAUCUGACGAACAUUCUUGAAAGAGAAUGGUGCUCUUCGGAGAGCGUCAAG